rnacentral:rRNA from 1 species
CCUACGGGAGGCUGCAGUGGGGAAUAUUGCACAAUGGGCGCAAGCCUGAUGCAGCCAUGCCGCGUGUGUGAAGAAGGCCUUCGGGUUGUAAAGCACUUUCAGCGGGGAGGAAGGCGUUAAGGUUAAUAACCUUGGCGAUUGACGUUACCCGCAGAAGAAGCACCGGCUAACUCCGUGCCAGCAGCCGCGGUAAUACGGAGGGUGCAAGCGUUAAUCGGAAUUACUGGGCGUAAAGCGCACGCAGGCGGUCUGUCAAGUCGGAUGUGAAAUCCCCGGGCUCAACUUGGGAACUGCAUUCGAAACUGGCAGGCUAGAGUCUUGUAGAGGGGGGUAGAAUUCCAGGUGUAGCGGUGAAAUGCGUAGAGAUCUGGAGGAAUACCGGUGGCGAAGGCGGCCCCCUGGACAAAGACUGACGCUCAGGUGCGAAAGCGUGGGGAGCAAACAGGAUUAGAUACCCGAGUAGUC